GGGCAUUUCUGGAAUUUCUGGAAUUUGAGUAUGAAUGUUCAUCUUCUUCUUCAUGAAGAAGAUGAAGAUCAUCAUUUGCGUCGGUUUUCUGGACAAUAGCGGCGGUUUCUGGAUAUUUCACAUGCAGGCUUAGGGUUUUAAUGAAACGGUGUCGUUUCAGGCCUGGCGCACGCUCAAUUCAAAUAUAUACAGGGAUCGAUUCCCAGCGAGCGCUCUUUUCAAAGGUUCAGCAUUUUUU
rnacentral:lncRNA from 1 species